GACGAACGCUGGCGGCGUGCUUAACACAUGCAAGUCGAGCGGUAAGGCCCUUUCGGGGGUACACGAGCGGCGAACGGGUGAGUAACACGUGGGUGACCUGCCCUUAGCUCUGGGAUAAGCCUGGGAAACUGGGUCUAAUACCGGAUAUGACUCCAUGACGCAUGUUGUGGGGUGGAAAGCCUUGUGCGGCUAGGGAUGGGCCCGCGGCCUAUCAGCUUGUUGGUGGGGUGAUGGCCACCAAGGCGACGACGGGUAGCCGGCCUGAGAGGGCCACCGGCCACACUGGGACUGAGACACGGCCCAGACUCCUACGGGAGGCAGCAGUGGGGAAUCUUGCGCAAUGGGCGAAAGCCUGACGCAGCGACGCCGCGUGGGGAUGACGGCCUC
rnacentral:rRNA from 1 species